rnacentral:pre_miRNA from 2 species
ACACCCAGGGACAGAAUAGCAGUUCACUUGGAAGCCCCCUUUUCUAUCCCUGGGACUGG